UUUUGAGUGUGUAUUAACCCUCGGCGGGACAAUAACCCAAACCCAUUAUCAGAGUUGAAGGUCUUAUCAUUUCCCAG
rnacentral:tRNA from 1 species